GGGCGCAGCCUGAUGCUGCCAUGCCGCGUGUGUGAAGAAGGCCUUCGGGUUGUAAAGCACUUUCAGCGGGUAGGAAGGCGAUACGGUUUAUAACCGUGUUGAUUGACGUUACCCGCAGAAGAAGCACCGGCUAACUCCGUGCCAGCAGCCGCGGUAAUA
rnacentral:rRNA from 1 species